CACGUAGGGGGCGAGCGUUGUCCGGAAUCAUUGGGCGUAAAGAGCUCGUAGGCGGCUCAGUAAGUCGGGUGUGAAACCCUCAGGCUCAACCUGGGGACGCCACCCGAUACUGCUGUGGCUAGAGUCCAGUAGGGGAGUGUGGAAUUCCCGGUGUAGCGGUGAAAUGCGCAGAUAUUGGGAGGAACACCAGUGGCGAAGGCGGCUACCUGGACCGGUUCUGACGCUGAUGCGCGAAAGCGUGGGUAGCAAACAGG
rnacentral:rRNA from 1 species